rnacentral:rRNA from 1 species
GUCUACGGCCAUACCACCCUGAACGCGGCCGAUCUUGUCUGAUCUCGGAAGCAGAGUUGGGCCUGUUUAGUACUUGGAUGGGAGACUGCCUGGGAAUACCGUGAACUGUGGGCU